UACGUAGGGUGCGAGCGUUAAUCGGAAUUACUGGGCGUAAAGAGUGCGUAGGCGGUUCGUUAUGUCUGCUGUGAAAGCCCCGGGCUUAACCCGGGAAUGGCAGUGGAAACUGGCGGGCUUGAGUGUGGCAGAGGGGGGUGGAAUUCCGCGUGUAGCAGUGAAAUGCGUAGAGAUGCGGAGGAACACCGAUGGCGAAGGCAGCCCCCUGGGCUAACACUGACGCUGAGGCACGAAAGCGUGGGGAUCAAACAGG
rnacentral:rRNA from 1 species